UACGUAGGGACCGAGCGUUGUCCGGAUUCAUUGGGCGUAAAGAGCUCGUAGGCGGCUGUUCAAGUCGAACGUGAAAACUCGGAGCUCAACUCCGAGCCUGCGUUCGAUACUGGACGGCUAGAGUCUGGUAGGGGAGAAUGGAAUUUCCGGUGUAGCGGUGAAAUGCGCAGAUAUCGGGAGGAACACCGGUGGCGAAGGCGGUUCUCUGGGCCUUACCUGACGCUGAGGAGCGAAAGCGUGGGGAGCGAACAGG
rnacentral:rRNA from 1 species